AUUGAACGCUGGCGGAAUGCUUUACACAUGCAAGUCGAACGGCAGCACGGACUUCGGGCUGGUGGCGAGUGGCGAACGGGUGAGUAAUGUAUCGGAACGUGCCCAGUCGUGGGGGAUAACGUAGUGAAAAUUACGCUAAUACCGCAUACGAUCUUUGGAUGAAAGCGGGGGAUCGCAAGACCUCGCGCGAUUGGAGCGGCCGAUAUCAGAGUAGGUAGGUGGUGGGGUAAAGGCCCACCAAGCCAACGAUCUGUAGCUGGUCUGAGAGGACGACCAGCCACACUGGAACUGAGACACGGUCCAGACUCCUACGGGAGGCAGCAGUGGGGAAUUUUGGACAAUGGGCGAAAGCCUGAUCCAGCCAUUCCGCGUGCAGGAUGAAGGCCCUCGGGUUGUAAACUGCUUUUGUACAGAACGAAAAGGUUUCUACUAAUACUAGGAGCUCAUGACGGUACUGUAAGAAUAAGCACCGGCUAACUACGUGCCAGCAGCCGCCGUAA
rnacentral:rRNA from 1 species